UGAAGUAAAAGUCGUAACAAGGUCUCCGUUGGUGAACCAGCGGAGGGAUCAUUACCGAGUUUACA
rnacentral:rRNA from 1 species